rnacentral:lncRNA from 1 species
CUUGAAGGAAGCAUGUGAUCGUAGGAAGAGGAACACAUAUAUUUCGAAGUUAAAGCGACUUACUUGUAGUAUUACAGUGAGUUCAAUCUGUAGGGAGUGAUGUAAUCAUGUUUUCUGUAGCCAUUCGAUUCCUACUCUUGAUGUAGCUAGUGAUAUUAUUGAGCAAGUUAGGUCCUACUCGGCCAGCCAACCUAUUUAUUGUAGUUUACUUGCCAAUAUGUGGUAAUCGUUUCUA